CCCUCGGCUUAACUGAGGAAAUGCAACUAAAACUGAUUUUCUUGAGUACUGGAGAGGAAAGUGGAAUUCCUAGUGUAGCGGUGAAAUGCGUAGAUAUUAGGAGGAACACCAGUGGCGAAGGCGGCCUGCUGGACGAUGACUGACGUUGAGGCUCGAAAGCGUGGGGAGCAAACAGG
rnacentral:rRNA from 1 species